GGCCUAGUGUGUGUGCUCUUUAAUUCCAUUUAAAGCCAUUGAAAUGGACUAGGCUCACAAUUUCUUUUUCGGCAGGAGAAGCACGAAACAUCAGACGAGAGGCAGACCACACCGGCAGACCACACAGUGUGCUGACUGCACAGAGAAAAAUACUAGUGGACAGUUAGGUCAUGUUGGACAGCAAGAAUUUCCAAAAGUUCACUGAGCAGCUGGGCUUCAGGGAUGGAAGGAUCGAGCUUGGGCAUUCCUGGCCGUUGACCAAAGAGGGACCGGGAAGAUCAAAGCUCUGCAAUUCUGUCAAGCGCUGGAGAACCUUUUUGCGCGCAUGUCGAACAAAAAGUAUGUAAACUUGCUGACCAAACUGCAACCAGACCAUAAAAACACAACUGUUAAGUGCAAGGACUUUGAAUUAUGGAGCCCACUGGUAAGAGACGCUGUUUCUGAAAAUAGAAACAUAGUGAAC
ensembl:lncRNA